GUAGAUGCUCAUUCCAUCUCUUAUGUUCGCCUUCCGGCCUCAUAAACUCAGGAAUGACGCAGAGCCGUUUUAUGGUGCUUAUCGUCCACCGAGAGAUGUCGCUUCGGCCUCAUCAAACACCAUGGGCAUAACGUUGAGUGAAGCACCCAUUAGUUGUCAAAGACCUGUUUUAACGCCUGUCAGUGUAUGCUGACAGGCGUUUUUUU
rfam:Enterobacter cloacae S611 EDP2.NODE_1909, whole genome shotgun sequence.